AGUCGUAACAAGGUAUCCGUAGGUGAACCUGCGGAUGGAUCAUUAACAAAGGUGAUUUUGAAGUUGUGUGAACAGUUGGAGGUGGUGGUGGUGGUGGUAUUGGGUGGUAUUGGGUGGUAUUGGGUGGUAUUGGGUGGCAGUGUUUGUGGGUGGUGUAACCUUGGUCUAACCUUGGUCAACCUCACUCAACCUCACUCAACCUCACUCUCCCAACCUCACUCUCCCAACCUCCACCACUCCGUCCCUAUAAUGUAUACAAACUGAUGUCUGCUAGUUUCAAACUAAAACAACUUUUAGCAACGGAUCUCUUGGCUCUC
rnacentral:misc_RNA from 1 species